CUCGUAGCUCAGUUGGUCAGAGCAACCGGCUCAUAACCGGUUGGUCGCAGGUUCGAGUCCUGCCGAGCC
rnacentral:tRNA from 1 species